AUACGGGGGGUGCAAGCGUUAAUCGGAAUUACUGGGCGUAAAGCGCGCGUAGGCGGUUUGCUCAGUCGGAUGUGAAAGCCCAGGGCUCAACCUUGGAACUGCAUACGAUACUGGCAAACUAGAGUGUGAGAGAGGAUAGUGGAAUUUCCGGUGUAGCGGUGAAAUGCGUCGAUAUCGGAAGGAACAUCAGUGGCGAAGGCGACUGUCUGGCUCAACACUGACGCUGAGGUGCGAAAGCGUGGGUAGCAAACAGGAUUAGAAACCCAGUAGUCC
rnacentral:rRNA from 1 species